UACGUAGGGUGCGAGCGUUAAUCGGAAUUACUGGGCGUAAAGCGUGCGCAGGCGGUUCUGAAAGUCAGCUGUGAAAGCCCCGGGCUUAACCUGGGAAUGGCGGUUGAAACUACAGGACUAGAAUCUGGCAGAGGGGGGUGGAAUUCCACGUGUAGCAGUGAAAUGCGUAGAGAUGUGGAGGAACACACGAUGGCGAAGGCAGCCCCCUGGGAUAACACUGACGCCUCAUGCACGAAAGCGUGGGGAGCGAAACAAGG
rnacentral:rRNA from 1 species